rnacentral:rRNA from 1 species
UACGUAGGUGGCGAGCGUUAUCCGGAUUUACUGGGUGUAAAGGGCGUGUAGGCGGGUCUGCCAGUCGGGUGUGAAAUUUCCAGGCUUAACCUGGACGGGUCAUCCGAAACUGCGGAUCUUGAGUACUGGAGAGGAUAGUGGAAUUCCUAGUGUAGCGGUAAAAUGCGUAGAUAUUAGGAGGAACACCAGUGGCGAAGGCGGCUAUCUGGACAGUAACUGACGCUGAGGCGCGAAAGCGUGGGGAGCAAACAGG